UACGUAGGGGGCAAGCGUUGUCCGGAAUCAUUGGGCGUAAAGAGCGUGUAGGCGGCCAGAAAAGUCCGCUGUGAAAACUCGAGGCUCAACUUCGAGCUGUCGGUGGAAACUUUCUGGCUAGAGUCCGGAAGAGGAGAAUGGAAUUCCUGGUGUAGCGGUGAAAUGCGCAGAUAUCAGGAAGAACACCCGUGGCGAAGGCGGUUCUCUGGGACGGUACUGACGCUGAGACGCGAAAGCUAGGGUAGCAAACGGG
rnacentral:rRNA from 1 species